GGUUAGGCGGAGUAUCUACAGAGCAGUUAGGCUGAUCGCAUUUAUCCUUAUUUUCAACAUGGCCUCUGUGGACUAUUUGGAAACAGUGCAUCCGCUUGACUAUCCCAUUUUUCAGGCGUUGGUUUCUAAACAGUUCGCUGAGCGAAGGAGCACAGUUUCUAGCGCUGUCACAUCUCUUGCUGUCGAUACCAGCCCUAAACCCUCCACGGAUAUCGGACCCUCCGAGGUCGUUCCCCCUAGUCCGGGCGAGGCAUCCGUUGCUGCCCACGUAAGUCUGUCUGACGAUCAAACCAAUUCCGGG